rnacentral:lncRNA from 1 species
CUAUCAGACACCAGAUACUGGUCCACUUCAUUUCUAUCAAUAAAGUCCUGCAUUCCAACAAAAAGAACAGAAAAUUCCAUCUCUCUUAUAUCAGGUACACAUCUAAAUUCUGAAGGGUACAUGUACAGGUCCAAAAACCCUUAACACCUCUUAGUUGUACAGUAAGAUACUACAAAGGAUGCUUGGUAUAUCUAAAACCAGUGACAUGUACAUUGCAUACAAUAUAUUUGCCAAACAGAAAGUAAAGUAGUAUUAUUAACUAGAGCUAGAGGCAUCCGAAAAUUAUAGCAGCAGGCACUUCCCUUCUAAGCUCAUGUAAAGCAUGUCGUCUUGCCUCUUCUUCCUCCAUCACUACAUCACUGUCAUCCACUGAUUCACCACGAAUUAAUUGUCGGACAGGAUUUAUCACAACCUUCUUAAGAGAAACAGCAGUCUCCAUCAAGAGCAUGAGAAUUUUGACAGCACUUUGACGACCACGAUACCCAACAAUUUCCACAACCUCCAGGUGAU